rnacentral:rRNA from 1 species
AUUGAACGCUGGCGGCAUGCUUUACACAUGCAAGUCGAACGGCAGCGCGGGCUUCGGCCUGGCGGCGAGUGGCGAACGGGUGAGUAAUGCAUCGGAACGUGCCCAGUAGUGGGGGAUAGCCCGGCGAAAGCCGGAUUAAUACCGCAUACGACCUGAGGGUGAAAGCGGGGGACCGAAAGGCCUCGCGCUAUUGGAGCGGCCGAUGUCGGAUUAGCUAGUUGGUGGGGUAAAGGCUUACCAAGGCGACGAUCCGUAGCUGGUCUGAGAGGACGACCAGCCACACGGGGACUGAGACACGGCCCAGACUCCUACGGGAGGCAGAAGUGGGGAAUUUUGGACAAUGGGGGCAACCCUGAUCCAGCCAUGCCGCGUGCGGGAAGAAGGCCUUCGGGUUGUAAACCGCUUUUGUUCGGGAAGAAAUCCUCUGGGCUAAUACCCCGGGGGGAUGACGGUACCGGAAGAAUAAGCACCGGCUAACUACGUG